rnacentral:rRNA from 1 species
UACGUAGGGUGCAAGCGUUAAUCGGAAUUACUGGGCGUAAAGCGUGCGCAGGCGGUCCGCUAAGACAGAUGUGAAAUCCCCGGGCUUAACCUGGGAACUGCAUUUGUGACUGGCGGGCUAGAGUAUGGCAGAGGGGGGUAGAAUUCCACGUGUAGCAGUGAAAUGCGUAGAGAUGUGGAGGAAUACCGAUGGCGAAGGCAGCCCCCUGGGCCAAUACUGACGCUCAUGCACGAAAGCGUGGGGGAGCAAACAGGAUUAGAUACCCUGGUAGUCCACGCCCUAAACGAUGUCAACUAGUUGUCGGGUCUUCAUUGACUUGGUAACGUAGCUAACGCGUGAAGUUGACCGCCUGGGGAGUACGGUCGCAAGAUUAAAACUCAA